CCCAGCAACUAGCUCUCUGCAGCUCUCACAUGGUCACCCACUGAAGCUAAGAAGGGCUGUGCCCGAUUAGUACCCGCAUGGGAGACCACAUGGGAAAACUACGUUGCUGCCGGAA
rnacentral:rRNA from 1 species